CAGGCGGGCUGGCCUGGUGUGUCACGUGGGCGGUGCGUGCUCAGUGCGGCUGCGCUGACCGGUAGCUGCAGCUGGAGCGGUGGCGUUUGGAGGAGACGCGAAACUGGAUGGCUUCUACAGGGAGCCAGGCCUCUGAUAUAGACAAGAUUUUUGGAUUCUUCAGUGAUGGCGCACCCCCCACCAAAAAGCCCAGGAAGCUGCUUCCAAGCUUAAAAACAAAGAAGCCUCGGGAACUUGUGCUGGUCAUUGGAACAGGCAUCAGUGCUGCAGUGGCACCUCAGGUUCCAGCCCUAAAAUCCUGGAAGGGGUUAAUUCAGGCCCUACUGGAUGCUGCAAUUGACUUUGAUCUUCUAGAAGAGGAGGAAAGCAAAAAGUUUCAGAAAUGUCUCCAUGAAGACAAGAACCUUGUCCAUGUUGCUCAUGACCUUAUUCAGAAACUCUCUCCUAGAACCAGUAAUGUUCGAUCCACAUUUUUCAAAGACUGUUUAUAUGAAGUAUUUGAUGACCUGGAGUCAAAGAUGGAAGAUUCUGGAAAACAGCUUCUGCAGUCAGUUCUUCAUCUGAUGGAAAAUGGAGCCCUAGUAUUAACUACAAAUUUUGACAAUCUCCUGGAACUGUAUGCAGCAGACCAGGGAAAACAGCUUGAAUCCCUUGACCUUACUGAUGAGAAAAAGGUACUCACCCUGCUAGCCUGGUCGAGCUGUGUGUGUGUCAUGCAGGUCCUGGAGUGGGCUCAGGAGAAGCGGAACCUGAGCGUGUUACAUAUCCAUGGGGUCUACACCAACCCUAGUGGCAUUGUCCUUCAUCCAGCUGGAUAUCAGAACGUCCUCAGGAACACUGAAGUUAUGAGAGAGAUUCAGAAACUCUAUGAAAACAAGUCAUUUCUUUUCCUGGGUUGUGGCUGGACUGUGGACGACACCACUUUCCAGGCCCUCUUCCUGGAGGCUGUCAAGCAUAAGUCUGACUUAGAACAUUUCAUGCUGGUUCGAAGAGGAGAUGUAGAUGAGUUCAAAAAGCUUCGAGAAAACAUGCUGGACAAGGGGAUUAAGGUUAUCUCCUAUGGAAAUGACUAUGCUGAUCUUCCAGAGUAUUUCAAGAGACUGACCUGUGAGAUCUCCACAAGGGGUAAAUUAGUUUGUAUUUAGCAGGGAUGGUGAGAGAAGGCCAGCUAAAUGGCUCAUCUGCAGUGCAUGAUGAAAUACGAGGCUAUAGUACAUGAACGAGCUAGAGAAAUGGCCACCAUUAGACCAAGCUGUAAGGCCCUACCAUGGAGUGUUUAACAGGCAAACCUGAAAGAACCCAACACAGCUCCAGGAAGUGGCACUGUCCAGAGGCUGAAGAUUGGGGGUAGACUAGGGAGAAAGUGUUCCAGCUUUUUCUUCAUGCCAGCUGGUUCUUGCUCCUCUGCCUCCUGAAAAGCUGAAGAAUACCUAAGUGACAGUGGAACCAGACUGCAGCACCCCCAUCCCCAGGCUGAUGUGCUUGUGUCCACACAGCAGACUGUGUGACCUCCACUGAUGGUGACUGUAGCUCUGCAUGAAGGACUUGGAGAGCUGUCAUGAGUCAGUGGGGCUCUUGUUGCAGUUUUGUACUCAACACUUGGUUUUUCAAUUAAGCUUAAUCACUUUUUAAAAACAUGACUUGAAGCUCUAGUUUUCUAGCUCUUUUACAUUGUACAGUAUUUUACCUGAGUUGUAUUAAAGGCUUGUUCAUUUACUCA